rnacentral:rRNA from 1 species
CCCUUAGAUGUUCUGGGCUGCACGCGCGCUACACUGAAGCGUUCAACGAGUAUUCACCUUGCCCGGGAGGGUUGGGUAAUCUUUUGAAAACGCUUCGUGAUGGGGAUAGAUUAUUGCAAUUAUUAAUCUUCAACGAGGAAUUCCUAGUAAGCGCGAGUCAUCAGCUCGUGCUGAUUACGUCCCUGCCCUUUGUACACACCGCCCGUCGCUCCUACCGAUUGAGCGAUCCGGUGAAUAAUUCGGACCAGGAUUCGCAUGAGUUCGCUCACGCAAAUCCCGGAAAGUCUAGUGAGCCUUAUCACUUAGAGGAAGGAGAAGUCGUAACA